rnacentral:rRNA from 1 species
CCAUUGGCGGCAGCUAAUACAUGCAAGUCGAGCGGACAGAAGGGAGCUUGCUCCCGGAUGUUAGCGGCGGACGGGUGAGUAACACGUGGGUAACCUGCCUGUAAGACUGGGAUAACUCCGGGAAACCGGAGCUAAUACCGGAUAGUUCCUUGAACCGCAUGGUUCAAGGAUGAAAGACGGUUUCGGCUGUCACUUACAGAUGGACCCGCGGCGCAUUAGCUAGUUGGUGAGGUAACGGCUCACCAAGGCGACGAUGCGUAGCCGACCUGAGAGGGUGAUCGGCCACACUGGGACUGAGACACGGCCCAGACUCCUACGGGAGGCAGCAGUAGGGAAUCUUCCGCAAUGGACGAAAGUCUGACGGAGCAACGCCGCGUGAGUGAUGAAGGUUUUCGGAUCGUAAAGCUCUGUUGUUAGGGAAGAACAAGUGCAAGAGUAACUGCUUGCACCUUGACGGUACCUAACCAGAAAGCCACGGCUAACUACGUGCCAGCAGCCGCGGUAAUACGUAGGUGGCAAGCGUUGUCCGGAAUUAUUGGGCGUAAAGGGCUCGCAGGCGGUUUCUUAAGUCUGAUGUGAAAGCCCCCGGCUCAACCGGGGAGGGUCAUUGGAAAACUGGGAAACUUGAGUGCAGAAGAGGAGAGUGGAAAUUCCACGUGUAGCGGUGAAAUGCGUAGAGAUGUGGAGGAACACCAGUGGCGAAAGGCGACUCUCUGGUCUGUAACUGACGCUGAGAGCGAAAGCGGUGGGGAGCGAACAGGAUUAGAUACCCUGGUAGUCCACGCCGUAAACGAUGAGUGCUAAGUGUUUAAGGGGUUUCCGCCCCUUAGUGCUGCAGCUAACGCAUUAAGCACUCCCGCCUGGGGAGUACGGUCGCAAGACUGAAACUCAAAGGAAUUGACGGGGCCCGCACAAGCGGUGGAGCCAUGUGGUUUAAUCGAAGCACGCGAGAACUUACAGUCUGACAUCUCUGACACCUAAGAUAGCUUCCUCGGGACGAUGACAGGUGGUGCAUGCUUGUCGUCAGCUUCUGUCUUGGAAUGUUCGGUUAGUUCCCGCCACGAGGCACUUGAACCUUGUGCAGCAUUCAUUGGCACUCUUAGGGUAAAAG